rnacentral:misc_RNA from 1 species
CGAGAGUUGAAAAACUCCCAACCCAUUGUCUACCUACCUGUGGAAUCGUGCUUCGGCAGGCAGCCCCGUGGGACGGGGACCCCGCCUUCUCCGGAAGGUGCCUGCCGGUGGCCAACAAAACUCGUGUUAUCAAGUUACCAUCUGAGUCUACAAACAAAUAAUCA